CUUUGCUGAGGAUACGGUUAACGGAGCGAAAGCGACGUUCAACCGCAAAACAAGCAGAGGGGGCUUAGUGGUGGGGUGACUGCGUACCUUUUGUAUAAUGGGUCAGCGACUUAUAUUCUGUAGCAAGGUUAACCGAAUAGGGGAGCCGGAGGGAAACCGAGUCUUAAUUGGGCGUUAAGUUGCAGGGUAUAGACCCGAAACCCGGUGAUCUAGCCAUGGGCAGGUUGAAGGUUGGGUAACACUAACUGGAGGACCGAACCGACUAAUGUUGAAAAAUUAGCGGAUGACCUGUGGCUGGGGGUGAAAGGCCAAUCAAACCGGGAGAUAGCUGGUUCUCCCCGAAAGCUAUUUAGGUAGCGCCUCGUGAAUUCAUCUCCGGGGGUAGAGCACUGUUUCGGCUAGGGGGCCAUCCCGGCUUACCAACCCGAUGCAAACUGCGAAUACCGGAGAAUGUUAUCACGGGAGACACACGGCGGGUGCUAACGUCCGUCGUGAAGAGGGAAACAACCCAGACCGCCAGCUAAGGUCCCAAAGUCAUGGUUAAGUGGGAAACGAUGUGGGAAGGCCCAGACAGCCAGGAUGUUGGCUUAGAAGCAGCCAUCAUUUAAAGAAAGCGUAAUAGCUCACUGGUCGAGUCGGCCUGCGCGGAAGAUGUAACGGGGCUAAACCAUGCACCGAAGCUGCGGCAGCGAACGUAUCACCCAAGACAACUUUACGGAGUUGACGAUUGACGGAGCGAAGCGACGUCAAAGCGUUCAUUAAAGUCGAGUUGGCUUAGGGAUACGUUCGUUGGGUAGGGGAGCGUUCUGUAAGCCUGUGAAGGUGUGUCGUGAGGCAUGCUGGAGGU
rnacentral:rRNA from 1 species